AUUUUUUUAGAAAGAUACUUCUUACUGUCAGUAAUUUCCUUAGAUUAUAACAAUGUUUCUUCUUACGAAGAUUCAUUUUUAAAUGCAUUUUUACAUUAUAAUAAUAGUUUCUAUUUAUGAAACACUAAAUAUUAGGCAUAGUGUAGGCUUUCUAUCUUAUCUCAUCUUCAUAAUAAGUCUGCAGGGUUGAUUUAUUGUCUCAACUUUACAAAUUAAAAAAAAAAAAUGAGCCCCAGACAUGGUCAAAGAGCCCUGGUUCUUAAAGGAGAUGCUGUCGGUUCUGUCCACUUCAUGCUGCCUUCCUGAGUAGGAACAGCUUACCUGAUCAGUGUUAUCAGUGUUAUUAUUUAAGUACAUUGCUUGAGAUGCAGUCUGUUUUGUUUUUUUUGUUUUGUUUUAUCAGAAAAAAUUAGGAUCUGUUCAGAAUUUUGAGAAAUAUUUUUUCCUUGCUAUAUUAUUUUGCUAACAUGUUAAGAUAUUUGUGUACUGAUGACCAAGAUUCUAAUGUGGCCCUGAUUAGUGAAGUUUCUUAGUCACCAGUAAGAUCUAAUGAGAACUUCCUACCUUUGCCUGGUAAUCUGGGAUUCUUAAACUGUUCUGCAGAGACUGUCCCAGGCCUGAAAGGUGUAUAGCAUCCUGUUGUCUCUUAGCCAUCAAGAGCUAACUAUCCAGACAUCUUUCUACAAGCAAUUUGUGCUACCCUUUCCAAAGGUCUGGAUUUCAGUUCCUCUAGAAGCCAUGGACAUCUGCCCUCCACAACUGCAAAUACUCCAAAGAGUACAGAACCUACUCCCAAGUUGUUUUAUUCGUAGGAAGAGACACUUGACAGGGGCUUUCCUUUUGAUUUCAAUCCUUAAUAAAUGCCAUUUUAAAUUCUUUUUUAAAGAAUUCUUUAAAAAAUCCAGCCGUUUACAUUGUGCCCUAGUUCUGUUAGUCUAGUCCCAAUGACUUGUGAAGAGAACCCAACUGUUACAGACAGCUGUUAAAAGGGGCUUCUCUACAUGCCAUCAUACCGACUAGCUUUUGGCCCCAACAAAUAAUUCUUCCUCCUUACCUGGACCAAGGAUCCCCCAACCCUGGUAUUGCAGUAUUCUAGGUUUGGUGCCAUUCUAGAGUGUUAGACUUUUUAUUUCCGUUUAAAUUGACCUUUAAAGCGGAUGAAGAUAGGGAUGAGGAGCUUACAAGAUCAGCCUUGUCUGGGAAGCAAGCUCAGCCUCAAUUGGAUGACGAAGCUAUUCACAAGUGAGCACCUUGGUUACAACCCACAUCUAAAUGAGUAAAUACUACCUGAAAGAAAAUGUUUAAAAAUUUUCAAAUUAGGGAGCUUAUGAAAAUAGUAUAUUAGGACAUAUAAAAUGGGAAUACUUUCUCAAUCCACUGAAAAACACCUUCAUUAAACCCAACAAAUUAAAUAUUUGUAUAACCUGAGCUGCUGUCCAUUUAAUGUUUACAAAGUGCCUACUCUCACAAACCUGUGAACAAAAUAGACAAGAUCCCUGGCCUCCUGAAGUGUCCAUUGUAAUGAAGAGACUGUUAGCGUGCCCACCCCCAGCACAGCUGGAUUCACUCAGUAGAGAGGAUUUCAUCUUAGCUUGGGGAAUGCCUGACACACAGAGCCUUAGUGUCUCUUCUGUGAUUACCAAAGCUAGAAACAAAAGCAAGGAAAGAAUGAGCCCCCUAAGGUGACUUUAGCUACCAGCACCUACUCUCAAGCCCAAAGGAUCUAUAGCUAUAUUGAGAUAGUUAUAGGUUGAAGGGUUGAACCCAUCUCCUAAGAGGUCGUAUGCCCUAUGGACCACAGCAGGCCAUGAUGACUUACAACCAGGGAAAUUUGAAAAGAAUUUUUCUUUUUUUUUUUUUUGAGAUGCAGUCUCACCCAGGCUGGAGUGCCAUGGUGCGAUCUCGACUCACUGCAACCUCUGCCUCCCCGGAUCAAGCGAUUCUCCUGCCUCAGCCUCCUGAGUAGAUGGGAUUACAGACAUGUGCCACCAUGCCCCCCCUAAUUUUUGUAUUUUUAGUAGAGAUGGGGUUUCACCAUGUUGGUCAGGCUGGUCUCAAACCCCUGACCUCAGGUGAUCCACCUGCCUCAAGCCUCCCAAAGUGCUGGGAUUACAGGCAUGAGCCACCAGCGCCAGCCAAGAGUUUAUUUUCUGGAGAUGGGGGUGAAACUCAGUAGAAGGGGAAGCAGAACAGAAUGCUGCAUUGGAUGAAUUUACCACAGUGCCUGCAAGGACCAUUCUACCUGAAGGAGAAUAUCCCUUCUCAUUGUCAAGGACUGCAACGGAUUCAGGGUUUUUCCCUGCUUGCAAGCUAACAAAUUUCCUAGGUCCCAGGAGUAUAUACAAGACCCCUGGAUCAGAGACAAAGGACUUCAUUUCUCAUAGCACAGUGGACAGCAUGAGUUUCAUAAUUACAUCAGUUUGCCUUCCCCCCAAUGUCCCUCAGGAGUGCUGCACACACACAGUGUGAGUUUAGUGUCACAGCUGAGGAAAUUUGAGCUUAGGAAACCCCAAUCUUAGGGAACUGCUAGAAAUCUGCCCCAGGACAAGACAUUAUCCUCAUUUUGCCCAGGAAACAAAUCUGUCCUCUGACCUGGGAGGAGAGUAGGGGACAAUAUAUCUGUCUCCUAAGACUAUUUGCUAUACAAACAUCUUUGAAAAGGCAGGACAGAACAAAGCUGUUCAUGCUUCUUGCUCAGAAGAUGUGCAGAAAUACGAGAAAUCGAGGAAGAAUUGUCUCUCAACACCAUAGCCCCUGCUAAAGGGAUGGGACAACAUAGGCCUCAAAACCCCACUCCUCCCAGCCACAGGUGAUUGGACUGUUGGGCACCUGACUCAAGGCUCCUGCAUUCAGAGGUUGACCAGCGACCCGGUGCUGGAGAUAAGGCAGGUCUGUCAGCUUCUCUCACUAAUUUAUGUUGGGAAAUAGGGAAUUCUUAACAGGAAAUGGGGAGGUGAAGCAAAAGGGUUGCAAGAGGAGGGAUAUUAAAGUCGUAAGGAGUCAUGACAUGCUUAAGUGAUGAGGAAGCAGAAACUAAGAACAGUUAAAAACUGAAUGGGAGAAAAUACUUAAGAGUGGAUUGAAGAGGAAGCCAACUGCAGUGGGAGAGAAGGAAGCUGAGCCUCAUGACCAGUGGAACACCAGAAUGAAGUAGUCAUAGCUCCUUCCUUUCCUCAGGCAUCUUUUUACUUCCUAUCCCAAUCUGCCACCCACAUCAAACAUGGAUAUCCUUAUAACAACACAUACAAGCCAGUACUGGAGAGAAUUUGAGUGAGCCUCUGUUUUAGUUAAGUAAGCUCUUUGGUUAUAAAGAACGGAAGAGAUACAAAAUAAUGUUGCAGCACAGUGACAGUAAACUAGUUAAUGUUUAUUGAGUGCAUACUAUGUGCUGGGAAUAUUUUUGGGUCAUUUUACAUGCAACAUCUUAGUUAAUCCUUAUAUAAUCCUAAUAAAACUUAGAAGUAAACACUAUUAUAAUUCCCCAAAGACAUCAAAAGAUUAAGUAGCUGCCAAGGCUCACAUAGCGAGUAAGUAAGGGAGUCAGGAUUCCAACCCAAUGCCCUUAACUGCUUUGUUAUAUUGCUUACUGCAUAGGUGAGUGAGUUAAUACUCAAGGUAAGUACAAACAAAAUAAAUUUUAGUGACAUGACUAAUAAUUCUUGCAGACUAACCUUGUGAACUCAAUAACCCUUUAAACAUUAUUUCAUCGGAGAUGAAAACACUAAACAUUUGGAUCAAAAAACUUAGAAGUUGGUAAUUAUCUGUAUUAACAAUCACAGAGAAUAAUCCUGAAGAGGUUAAGGAGAGGAGCCUGAACAUGAAAUUGAUUUACUCUCUUACCUGGAAAAAAAACCUGAUCUCAGCAGAUGCAAUUUAUGUUACUUUUAUAUCCACUGCAGACAGAAUUCUGCCUCCAUCAUUUUUUUUCUUGCCAGCCCCUAUGGUGUCCACAGUGUCAGUGACCACUGUCCGCACCUGUAAAUAGGUAAGAACAAUGAUGUGGUCAAAGGAAGCCUGUUGUAUUUCUAAAGCCUGGUAAGGGCUGGGUAGAAAGCAAGUUGUGAUUGACCAGGGAUAAACAUCGGGUCCCUGUUGUGUCUCACACUAAAUCCACUCUACAUGAUCUUGUUCUGUCCUAAUUGGUCUCUAUCCCAGAUGGUUAAUCCCUUUGGUUAAUGAAUACCCAUAGCCUCAUCAUCUCUAGGAACAGGCGCCUAACAGGAGCCUGAGAGAAUGUUGCCAAAGCAACUUGGUGAAAGAUGCUUGUCUGUUCAUUGACUGCUUUGUGCUGAGAAUCAAUAAAAAAUUAAUGAUCUAAAUAACCACUAUAUUAGCUCCCUUAAGGAAGAAACAGUGGCUUGCCCAAGAUCAUACACAGCCAACCAGUGUUGGAGCUAGGACUUGAAUUUAGUUCUUCUGACUACUAACAGUUUUCUCUACUAUGCCAAAUACUGUUCCUGCUUUCCUUUCACCUGUACUCACUGUAAUUCUCUGGUGAGUCAAGGCAGCAGCUACGGUGAGGUCAGAAAAAAUGGCCUUCAUUGAAUAGGUAGCAUUUGCCUACAACCUGCUUUGUCCCAGAUACUCUUCCACCAGCAAAGUGGGAAAAUAAUGACUUAAAUAAGCAGAGCAAGCCUUCUGUUUGUGAGUUUCUGUUUCUCUGCUUCGGUUUUGGGUCAGUUUUAAGACCUAAAACUUGGCGUGGGGAAGCAGGGACAUUUCUGAGAGCUUGCUCUGCAGCCAGCACUUUAUGAAAAUAGAAGUACAGGAUGAAAUUUUGAGCUCUUUAAGGAUGACAACACUGAUUGAUGAUCACUAGGAGCCGGUAAUUGCCUCCUGGUCUUAAAGUAGGAAAUCUGCUGGGUAAAAAAAUAAAGACAAUGAAGGGAACAUUUUGUCUUAUAAAUUGAGUAACAGCGUUCUCUGGCAACUUGUUAAUGUCAGAGAUGAUCUCUACAAAAGUGAAGAUAAGCUUGAUUGCACCUAAAACGAAUAUUUUUUCCUAUCAAAUGGGAAUACAAAUUUAGGUUGUUCUGGGCAAACUUUCUUGAGUUUAAAAAGAGGGAAGCUGAGGCAAUAUUUAUUUACAGACUCCAAGUUGGAAGGAACUAAACAAUCCUGCCAGUUGCUCUAGAGGUGACAGGCACUUGCCUUUUCUCACUUUUCUUUUUCCCUUCUUCCCUCUCUCCUGUCUCUCCUUCAUUCCUUCUUUCCUUCAUCAGCCAGGCUGACUGAGCUUAAAUCCUAGUCCUACCACGUUCUAGCUGUGAAGUCUUGAGCAGCUUACUCAACCUCCAUGUACCUGUUGCCUCAUCUAUAAAACAUGAACAGAUGGUUUUCUAUCUAGGGUUAUUAUGAGUGAGUUCACAUAUGUAAAGUACUUAGGAUCUGGCACAUAGUCAGUGUUGGGUAGGAACACGUUUUCCCCAUUCCUGAUGUUUCCUUCCACAUGGAAGGACUUCUUCAUUCAUUAUUUGAUCUAAAUCUUCAUUGACAAAUCACAGUAUCACACAUGGGCUCAUGAAUUUUGUAAUAUAUUUUUAAGUCAAAUUGUUUAUGUAGACAGGAACCCAACAAAAAUAUUUGCCCAGGACCUUGCGCGCCCUAGAAGUGGCUCUGGAGAAAAGCAUUUGCCUACAGAAAUAAACCAUUUCCUUCCUCAGCCUAUAUCAGUAACAAAGGUGCAGCUUUGGCCACUAUCUGCCACUCCUUUCUCUUAUUCCUCUGUUUGUUUAGAAGCGGAUCAGGAAAGAGGGACACCAUUUCCUCAGAUCCCUCAAAGUCCCCAAAAAAGAACUCAAUAAGCAUUAGCUGUUAUCAUUUUUCAAGCUUUCAGGUUGUGUUUUAUUUUCCGUUUUUCUCCUUUCCUUUCAUUCCAAAAAGCCUCCUUUCUUUAAUUCUAUAAGCUCUUCUUUGGUCCCUGAGAGAUUCUUGUUUGUUUAUUUUUGUUUGUUUUUUUACAAUUAUUCCAGAGAUCUGGACAAUCUCUAGCACAGAAAAAAAAAAUUCCCUUCCUUCUUAGCAUCCUUCAGUAGUUGGACUCGGUGAAAAUUCCACUGCCCCCAGCCCUUUGCAGCACUGCUCUCAAGGCCAGUAGGCUGUACCUGGGCCCUGACUUGAGAGGAAGAUCACAAGAGAAGAGCAUUCAGUGGGUUAAAAAAAACAGAUCCGAAGGAUGAAGGGAAUCUACCUUCAGAUUGGAACCGAAGGUCAAAGGUUCUAGGAAUGAAGGUAUUCAACAUGGCAACGCUGGAAGCAAAGUAAACGUUCAACAGCUGGAUGAUGAUAAAGUAAGUGACCUUGAAACCAAUAGGACAACAUGGAGCUCAUUACGAUUAUGUUUAGGGAGACCAGGAGGAGACAUGGAAUAGGGCUUAUGUGCAAUAAAACAGAGAGGAAAGGAGGAGGCAAUUUAUAAAUGCAUGUCCUCUGAUUGUGUAAAAUUAGGCAUCUGUUAAAAAGACGGGAAUGAGGUAAUAAUAGAGUUAACAUGUUAGAGUAAUUGGAUAAUAGUAUUAGUUGUUUCUUUUCUCUAACUGAAUAUAAUAUAUUACUUUUAUAAUUUAGUAAAUUUGUUCUUUUCAAAGGAGGUACACCCAUGCCUUUCUCCUGGCUAUCUGCAGCUCAACAAUGAGGGACUUGGGCUCCCCAGGCCUCCAUCACACUAAACAGUCCUGGCCGACUAUGAUACCCUUCCUCUUUUCUCCCUAAUUUGUUGUCUAUUACAGUUUGCUCCGUGGACGUGUGAAGCAAUCUCUGGGGGUGGAGCUGAGGAAUCUGCAUUAUUAACAGUUUCCUGGGAGAUUCUUACACACACUAAAGUUUGGACAAAGAUUGCUUAUUUUUUCUGCCAAAAAUCUUAACCACACAGGGACUUGCACGAUCUAUGUUAUUUCUUGAAGCAAAGUUAAUCCACCGAUAUUAUGCCUUGUGUGUAUGUGUUUUAAGUGCCCAGUGAACACAGUUCCAUUUAUCCUCAAAUAUUUUUGUGUAGAAAUUUUCGAUUAUAAUUUAUUCAUGGUUUUUGCUUAGAAAGCCACCUUAUAAGCAAGGUAUCCUGUCAUAGGAUCACUACUUUCUUUCCCUCUGUUUUGAGUCCUGCCAUAAUUAGGGCUGAGUGACUUUUCGGGACACACUUUACUUUGUUUCUUUGAUCACAACAGAGAACACAGGACUCUCGGGUCCUGAGGCUGGCUGAAGGGUUUCAGUUUUCCUUAAUUGUCUAUCAUUAUAGGACCUGGAAAUACCCACUCAUGAUCCCACUGCUUCCAGCCCUCAAACUAAGAAUGGAGUCUCUAGUCGUGCACAUUCCUGGGCCUCAGGGCUCACAAGGCAGUGAGGCUGAGGUGGGGCGGCCUGUCUGCGUCUGCGUCCCAGCAGAGCCUCACAGGUCCUCGCUGGCACUGCAGGAAGGAGGCCCCUCUGAGGCGAGGAGUGUUCUGACCUACAAGGCUGUCCAAUCUUUUGGCUUCCCUGGGCAACAUUGGAAGGAGGAAAAUUGUCUUAGGCCACACAUAAAAUACACUAAUGAUAGCUGAUGAGCUUUAAAAAAAAAUGCAAACAAAUUUCAUAAUGUUUCAAGAAAAUUUAUGAAUUUGUGUUGGGCCACAUUCAAAGCUAUCCUGGGCUGCAUGCAGCCUGUGGGCCAUGGGUUGGAGAAUCUUGCUUUAUGAUUUUACUCAAGACAGAAACUAAGUGCUAACAUUUCCCCCAAUCACAAUUCUAUUUUACCUUUUUAAAAACUCUAAAGGGCAAGAAUUUUGCUAAUCUUUUCUAGAAAUAUAAAAACAAGCAAAUAUGUUUUCUAAAACAAACCAAGGCUUUUCUCCUGGGGAAUUUGCAGGCAUAGCACGAACUCCUUCCUCACUGCUAUUUCUUGAGAGGGGCUGUUAGGCUGUGCUGUGCUCUGCUUAAGGACGAGAGGCCAGGUACACAGCCUGAGAGGCCAGUCAUUGUGCCAUGUUGUUGUCAGGAGUUCCCAGUGUCCAUCUUGAUAAGGCUUUGCUAAAACAUACUAAUACAAACUUCCAUUACCUCCUGUGUUUCUAAAUAAACAUACCAAGUUAUUUUAAGACUCAUGUUUUCCUUUAUAAUCAUUUGAAAUUUCUGCCUAGUGUGAAACAACCAUCUAGAUUCUCACAGAAUUCAUGAAUAAUACUGAAAUCCACUCUCCUAAACAGCAGCAGUUUCAAGUAAGUCGUGCAGUAAACACAAUGUCCAAAUUUAUUUUUAAAGCUUUGAAGAUAAAUGAUGAAGCCUCCUAUGAGAUUAUCUUUUAUGUAGCGGAAGAAAAGAAUCCUUGAGGGUCAAGUUGCUAGGGCAGUCACAGAAGCCAGAGCCAUGGGCCAGGAGGUCCUGAGGCCUCUCUGAAGGAUGUGCGUGGUCAUCCACUAUGGGUGCAGCUGGUGUUGAGAAACUAAGCUGAUGCACCACCUCUGUUGUUCCAAGGCUAGACCAACAGUGGGCAUUCUCUAGAUCUAUUGUCUCCUUUACGUAUUAGGGGGAAAACCACUUCUACUGUGCAGGGAUCUGCCCCUUUAAACACAUAAAUACCACUUAAUCCACUGCCCUCAACAGAGGAAAUGACCACUGGCCUGGAGGCCUCCAAAAUUCCUUCUCUUUUUCUUUCUUUCAAGUCAAAGGUCAUGGUUCAUUUCGAGUUCCAAUGCUAUUUUCUAAAUUUUGUUUUAAUCCAGAUCUCAUGACUUAUUUCUCAUUCUCUUUCCUUCCUGAACAAUUCAGUGCUAAAACCAUUAGGUAGGGCAGAGCGAAGACUGUAUGGGCGCCAGGGUGAAGGAAACCACAGUGGCACAGAGUGCAGUGCCUGCAUCAGGACAGGGUCAGGAGGCAGUCCUGCAGAGGGGCAGCUCAGCAUGGUGUGUUCAAGUCCUACAGAGUAUUGGAGCCCAAAGGAGAAAAGUAACUUUACAAUGGGAAUGGCUGGCAGACAUCACCUGACUCAAGUGUCAAAGUGAAGAAACAUCAUCAAUGAUGUUUCCAUUAAAUGGAAAUCCUGUGCCACCUGACAAGAGGCAUUUAGGACUUCUGUGAUAUUCCCUCUAAAGAUGCAUCACCUGAAUCUGACUAUGAAGAAACAUCAGAAAAACUCAAAUUGAGGAACACUCUGCAAGUUCCCUCAAAACCCUGGCAAUGGCAACUAAAAAGAUGGCUUUUGUGAGAAGAGCGAUUGGUGUCCACACCUGCUGGUGCUGAGCACAAGACAAUGCACAUGUGUUCUCUUGAAGGAAGAAACUUUAGAAACGUCAUCUUCAAGGUGUCAAUGACUUGUCUACUAUAGCUGCUGCCUCAGCGUCCACUUUUAGACCCGGCAUCAGCUGUGUGAAACCCAGUCGCACCCUGCCACCUUUGGUCUAGGUGUGACUUCUCUUCCUUAGAGGGGCAUGAUAGAGCUCGUGUGUUUCUUUUCUUUUUUUUCUUUUUGUUUUUGAGAUGGAGUCUUGUUCUGUCACCCAGGCUGGAGUGCAGUGGCACCAUCUUGGCUCACUGUAACCUCUGCCUCCCAGUUCAAGCAAUUCUCCUGCCUCAGCCUCCCAAGUAGCUGGGACUACAGGCAUGAACCACCACGCCUAGCUAAUUUUUGUAUUUUUAGCAGAGAUGGGGUUUUACCAUGUUGGCCAGGCUGGUCUCAAACUCCUGACCUCAAGUGAUCCACUUGCCUCAGCCUCCCAAAGUGCUGGGAUUACAGGCAUGAACCACCAUGCCUGGAGGAGCCCAUGUGUUUCUCAUCUCACCAACCCAAAGCCCAACUCACUCCACAGCUGCUGACCAUGAGGAAACCUAAGGUCAACACCGGAGUCAGGCAAAUAAGCCACCCCCCCACCCCCACCCGCAUACACACUUGUUUUAUUUAAACUGGCCAAUCCACAACUGCCAGAGGAAAGCCCGUGGGCCUUCAUGGAGGCCUAGUCUCAAGCCCUCACUCUCCCUUCCCACCUGCCGGUCGAGUGCCCUGCUGUCUCUGGACUUCCCAUCGGCCCUCAGGGACGUAAGUCUGCCUAGAGGAGAGUUGACACACCAAAAACAAAACUUCUGUUUCAAAAAUCCAGUCCCUGAAGGCAAUCGGGAAAAAGUGUGAAGAACAAGGGCAGAGCUUCCCAACUUUGAGCCUGAGUGGUGAAAGGAAGCAAGAAGAAAAGGGGUUUGUGGGUGCUCGGAGGAGCCCCACAACUAUACCCCCAUCCUCUCCAAGAUCCACCAGAACAGAUACCUACAUAAACUAGAGGCAUUUGAGAACGAAGGCCUCUUGCCCCCGAGGCAGCAGUAGCAGACUUGUAUGGCCCACAUGUAUUAGUCUGUUCUCACACUAUUAAGACAUACCUAAGACUGGGUAAUUUAUAAAGGAAAGAAGUUGAAUUGACUCACAGUUCAGAAUGGCUUGGGAGGCCUCAGGAAAGUUACAUCAUGGUGGAAGUGGAAGCAAACAGGUCUUUCUUCACACGGUGGCAGCAAGAAGUGCCAAGCAAAAGGAGGAAAAGCCCCUUAUAAAACCAUCAGAUCUCAUGAGAACUCACUAUCACGAGAACAGCAUGAGGGUAAAUGCUCCCAUGAUUACAUUACCUCCCACCAGCUCCUUCCCACCACAUGUAGGGAUUAUAGGAACUAUAAUUCAAUAUAAGAUUUGGGGUGGGGACACAGCCAAACCAUAUCAGAGGAUGAGCUAGGGGUGCACAGGGGGAGUAGGCUGUGAAGGACAUGUAGUACCCACAUCUCUAGGCCUGCAGGUGCCUUUCCGACAGGAACAAGAGGAACGUGGUAACAUUCCAGUGUGGCCUGGCCAGCAGGCACAGCCAGGUAAUGUAUGGCGCAGCAGGCACCAAUGUGGCAGGGGAGGGCCACGUGCUCCUGUGUCUACCCCAACACAAAGGUGCUUCUCCAUAACCACUCCUACCCGCCUCCCCCAAAACUGGCUGAGUUUAAGUUUCUGCAAACUGGCAAAAUGAGGGCUUGAAAUAAAAAUUGUCUGUGGACUAAAUUUUAUACACGCU
rnacentral:lncRNA from 10 species